CAACGUAGGUAAUCUACCUUUUGGGUGGGGAAUAACAACCGGAAACGGUUGCUAAUACCGCAUAAUGCAGCGGCACCGCAUGGUGACAGUUGUUAAAGCGGGGGAUCGCAAGACCUCGCGCCUAGAGAGGAGCCUGUGGCGGAUUAGCUAGUUGGCAGGGUAACGGCCUACCAAGGCAACGAUCCGUAGCCGGCCUGAGAGGGCGGUCGGCCACACUGACACUGAAAUACGGGUCAG
rnacentral:rRNA from 1 species